AGUGUUUGCGGGAAUUUUUCAAAUUUUCUAGUGCUGUAGCGGUAGUCUAGCGACAGAGCUUAAUUCCGGUGUUUUUUCUUCCGCAGAGUGCUAAGUCUUCUCAUUUACUACUAGGUGCACUAGAUUUGAACUCUAGAUCGUGACAAAACAUAAUGCGUCUGCUGAGUUGGUGUAAUACACAUCCGUUGGAUCCGUUCGUGCCUGAAUUAGUAAGUGGCCAUGUGAGAACUCUGAGCAGCGAAGAAGAACAUAGUACUAAGAGACUAUCUUGGAUAUCUUUGAGAUCUGUUUUCUUGUACGAUAAAGCAUCUAUGAACAUGGCAACAUUUGUAUAAAAUGGCGACAAGCGAAUAGACAACAAUGUUCAAACACUGUAGGCGAUCUGCGCGCUAGAAAACGGUGGAAAGUUCUGAAAAACGAUAUGACGGUUUAAGUGCGGACGUUUCACCUCGACUCUCGAAGAUUGAUCUCGAAAUCGGUUUAACGGUACCAUGCCAAACGUUAGAACGACAGCAAUGUGCUUCUGCAGACCCUAGUUCAGCAAUAACACAGCUAAAGCGCAGAACACAGAUCCAGGGUUCAAGCAACCGAAGGUAGAAAUAGGACUACCCUUGCGAGGCUCAAGGACAAAUUGCUAGAGACUGUACCCGAGUGUACAUUGCAGCAUAACCAUUAAAUGAUUCGUGUGUGAGUGAACAAGCAGACACUCGGACAACUAAAAUCAGCGGGAAAAAAUGGCCAACAGGUAGACUCACGACUGGCUUCCAGCGCAGGACAAAGUGUCUUCGCACGGCUUCAAAUCUGGACAAGUUUCGCACACGGAGAUAACUACAUGAGGCACAACCAACGCUUCGGUUCGGUGCCUCCAGCCAGGCGUGACAUGAUCACCUAAAAACCUGCCUAAAUGAUAUAAUUAUAAUUUUUGCCUGUAUAAUUAUGUUGAGAUUUCUUGAUUAGGACUAGUAUUCGCUUGAUAAGUGGUGAUCAUCUGCACCUAGUAAAAAGGUUUUCAAUGUACAGGUGUUUAUCAUAGAAUAAUCAUUAAAUCCAGUUACAUCGUUUUGAAUAUAAAUGUACUGAAUAUAAGUUUCGACCCUAGGACGCUCGACAGACAGCUAGAGUCUCACUGAUCCCCUAAACAAAUGAAAGCGCCACAGAUAAACAAGUUUAUUCCAAAUGCAGUAUAGUUGAUUUCCCAUCCACUGUUCGAUCGGUCCCACUCGGCAGUAUAAUAGGUUAACAACAACAAGGGGACCAUCGUAGAUAAAAAAAAAAACAGGAAGCACUGAAUGUUCCCUUUUCCUCAAGAAGAGGCUUAGUCCGUAAAAUAUGACCUAGGAGGGUCAAUGGCAUGUAAGUUUUUGUCGAUCGAGAAGGCAAGAAAUGUGCAUUAUCGAAAGGAUUGAAGCUCAACAUCUAGCUGGCUUAA